rnacentral:rRNA from 1 species
AACGAACGCUGGCGGCGUGGAUAAGACAUGCAAGUCGAACGCUUAUCCUUGUGUAGCAAUACAUGAGGGUAGGAGUGGCGCAAGGGUGCGUAACACGUGGGUAAUUUGCCGUGAAGUCCGGGAUAACUUGCUGAAAGGCGAGCUAAUACCGGAUGUGGAAAUUGGAAGGCAUCUUUUGAUUUCUGAAGUUGGGGACCGCAAGGCCUGACGCUUUACGAUAAGCCCGCGGCCAUCAGCUAGUUGGUGAGGUAACGGCUCACCAAGGCUAAGACGGGUAGCUGGUCUGAGAGGACGACCAGCCACACUGGAACUGAGACACGGUCCAGACACCUA